GGCUCGGGACAGAAAUAUGGGCUUUGUGUGGCAUAAAAGACACGUAAAAACCCCUUGGGGCAGGAGGAAAUGACUCAGCACAACAGCUCUGUCCCUUCUAAUGGGAUCUGUGCUUCAAUCCUGCCUUGAGCGUCUCCACGUGCUCUCCACACUCCUCCCCCUCGUGCCUGGUCCUUAAAAAUCCCAACAUCAGCCAGUUCAUACAACUGCUCCUCACGCCUUGUGCCUCUCCCUGAACCAGCCCUGAGCUUUCUCCUGGCCCUUCUCUGGGGCUGUUUGUCCUGCUUUUCCUAAGUUCUCAACUUGCAAAGCCCCUCCAGGACUCCUUGGCUGAUCCUGCCUUUCCAGGUGGCCUCUCCUCAUCGCUGCCCUUGGAGCUGCAUCCCUUCAGCAGAGAACACAAACCCAGGGUCUGCCCAGCUCAGAGUCCUCUUCCCUCCCCAGUCACCACUGCAGAUUACAGAGAGAGAAGCAAAAAAAUCACUGCUGGUGAGUUGUUAAUUUUUUUGCCAUAUUUUGGGGAGCUUCCAUUCAGCCCCGAUGCAGCUGUUGAAAUAGCAGGAGCUUCAUUUUUAUUUUGUCUAAUCCACUAAAAGAUGUUCCUGUUAUCCAUAUCCAUGUGUGCUGGGCUCUUCUUAACCUCUGGACUCCAUCUGUGGGAUUCACAUAAAAUAUUGUUACUAUGAGGGCCGUGAAAAACAACCAGAAUAAAACUGGUGUGCUUGGGAAGUGUCCUUAUGAAAGAUCCAUCAGAUUAUUGUGAUAGUUUCGUGUCCCUGGCUGUGGAGAAGGACACACAGCCUGGGCUGAAGUCUCAACUGUACUGGUGAGUACAAAGAGAGAAACUGGGAUCCCAGAAAGCCAGGCUUGCAGGAAUUUAGGCCAGUUAGGGAAAUUCCAAAAGAAAUUGAGGCUGUAUAGUUUUAUUUAACACUGGAUGGAGUGGGAAGACUGGCAGAAACCUUCUGUAGUGAGUAAUUGUCUGAAUGCAGCAACAGCUCAGCAGCUCAGGUAAAUCCCUCAGUGAGCUUUGAGGAGCUCAGCUAAUCUGAGUUAGAUGUGGGAUAGAAAGGAAAACAGCAGGAAUGUGCCUUGGAUCUCAAAGGUCUGCACACUAAAUGUUUGAUGGCUGCUAAUUUCUUUUCCUCGUGAAGGACGUGCAUGUGGCAUAUCCUGUGGCUCCAGUUCCAGCUUUUUUAUGGUCCUGUGAGUCAUCCAGGCAGAAAGCGACUGAAUGCUUUGAUAAAUACCUAAUUUUAAUAACAGGAAUCAUAUAUGCCAAUAAUGCCUGUGAAAUGAUCCCUACUUCUGCAGCAGGACAGCCUGACAGCAUCAGUUGGGCUCUGGCUCCCUGAGCAAGUGAAAUGCCAGGGAAUUUUCUCAAACUUUACAGCACAGAAGGUCACCUGGAAGGGAAUUUAUCUAUUUCAGAGCACCAAUGGACUGGAAACAGCUUUACUGGAUUUGAGAUUGUGGUUCCAGGAAGUCCAGCUGUGUCAAAUUCAAUUCUUGGAGCACUAAAUCCACCUUUAUCAUCUUUUCCCUGCUUGUCCUUGGGAUUAUCAUGACCCUGAGGUCUCUUUAUCUGUUAAAUUCCAAUGUGGCUGAUGCAUUUGAACUUCCCCCUAGCAGAUCUCUCGCUGUACUACCUGGAUUUCCCUCUGCCACCUUUCACCUGGGGAGGGCGGGUUGGAAAAUUAUAACCCUUAAAAAUAAAAUAAACAGAGCUGUGUCUCUGUCACUGACCUCUGAGCACGGGAAGGCCUUGUAGGGAGACCGAAUAGACACAAUCCAUCUUCCUGCACAAAGUCCUGCCAACAGCAAAACUGCUGCAGCCUUAAUCAAUCUGGUAUUACUAAAAUGCCCCUCACAUCACUCUCCACCUGACCAGCAAAGGCUUUUAACAUUUAAAAGCUGCACUAAGUCUCUGUAUAUGUUUGGGACAAGGCCAAGUAUCGAAUGAUGCCAAGGGAUCGAUAUUCAUGAUCUAGAGCAGCGCUGUGACUUGGCCCUGCCCUACAUAGUUCUCCAUAUGGCUCAUUGGAAAACCUUUUAGAGGCUUAACAAGGAGAGCAUUGCAGUGAACGUGGGCAAAAAUGCACGAGGAUAAGCACAGAGGCUCCAGGGGCCUGCUGGGGUCUCCGGUCUUACAGUAAGCCCUGGGGUUUAAUGGGAUUGGAGGAAACCCUCUGUGCAGGGAGGUGGGAUGGAAGGGGUCGGACAGCUGUUGAACAAACACUCUGUAAACAUUCCUGCUUGGCAAACACUAAGCAGACAGCCACGGUGGAGGCAAAGACCUGGAAGAUCAACAAAGACCUGCAGGUCUGGGUGAAAAGCUGCACUGCAGCACAGUCAGUGGCAGGGCUCGGGGAACACAGGCUUUGGGAUCCACAGGCUUUGGGAUGCACUUGGGGCUGUGAGGGAGGAACCUUAAUAAAAUAACCAACAGGGUUUGG